AGUUCCAGGGUUUGACUCCCAAGUCUGGCUCUCUCCAUUCCUGAAUUUUCUUGAUGUUACCAUGUAUACAUAACUUCUCUCACUCCCUACACACAGAGAAAAUCCCCAUUUGACAAUAAAUCUCCAAGCAGGCAGGGGUGGUAGAAAGAGAAUCAGAAUCACCAGCAAUGAACGACCUAUGAUGCUGGUUUUCAUAGGAUCCACUUGGUGAUGAAACUGAGCCCCAAGAAGGGGAAGAAACUUGUCUAAGGUCUAGUGGUCUAGCCAAGACUCAAACUCAGGGCCUGUGACUCCAGAUUCAUUGAACUUCCUCCUGUGCUGCCCAACUUCCCACACCAGCAUCAUUCUGAUCCCCCAGCUCAGGCUCUUCCACUCCUCCAGAAAACCCUCCCCAC
rnacentral:lncRNA from 1 species